rnacentral:rRNA from 1 species
GACGAACGCUGGCGGCGUGCUUAACACAUGCAAGUCGAACGGAAAGGCCCUGCUUUUGUGGGGUGCUCGAGUGGCGAACGGGUGAGUAACACGUGAGUAACCUGCCCUUGACUUUGGGAUAACUUCAGGAAACUGGGGCUAAUACCGGAUAGGAUCUCCUGCUGCAUGGUGGGGGUUGGAAAGUUUCGGCGGUUGGGGAUGGACUCGCGGCUUAUCAGCUUGUUGGUGGGGUAGUGGCUUACCAAGGCUUUGACGGGUAGCCGGCCUGAGAGGGUGACCGGGCACAGUGGGACUGAGAUACGGCGCAGACUCCUACGGGAGGCAGCAGUGGGGAAUAUGGCGGAAUGGGCGGAAGCCUGAUGCAGCAACGCCGCGUGCGGGAUGACGGCCUUCGGGUUGUAAACCGCUUUCGCCUGUGACGAAGCGGGAGUGACGGUAAUGGGUAAAGAAGCACCGGCUAACUACGUG